CCUGAGAGUCAUGGAUCUCACGUGCAAGAGCAUGAAACACCUGUGGUUCUUCCUCCUCCUGGUGGCCGCUCCCAGACGGGUCCUGUCCCAGGUGCAGCUGCAGGAGUCGGGCCCAGGACUGGUGAAGCCUUCGGAUACCUUGUCCCUCACCUGUGCUGUCUCUGGUUACUCCAUCAGCAGUGGUUACUGGUGGAGCUGGAUCCGCCAGCCUCCAGGGAAGGCCCUGGAGUGGAUUGGGAGCAUCUAUUAUAGUGGGAGCGCCUACUACAACCCGUCCCUCAAGAGUCGAGUCACCAUAUCAACAGACAUGUCCAAGAACCAGUUCUCCCUGAGGAUGAGCUCUGUCACUGCCGCAGACACGGCCGUGUAUUACUGUGCGAGACACAGUGAGGGGAGGUGA